rnacentral:rRNA from 1 species
GCAGUCGACGGUACAGGAAAAGCCGCUGUUUGCGACGAGCGGCGGAGGGGUGAGUAUGUCCGGGAAACCGCCCGAUGGAGGGGGAUAACUACUGGAAACGGUAGCUAAUACCGCAUAACGUCGCAAGACCAAAGAGGGGGACCCUCGGGCCUCUUCGCCAUCGGACGUGCCCAGAUGGGAUUAGCUUGUUGGUGGGGUAACGGCUCACCAAGGCGACGAUCCCUAGCUGGUCUGAGAGGAUGACCAGCCACACUGGAACUGAGACACGGUCCAGACUCCUACGGGAGGCAGCAGUGGGGAAUAUUGCACAAUGGGCGCAAGCCUGAUGCAGCCAUGCC